rnacentral:rRNA from 1 species
GAUGAACGCUGACAGCAUGCUUAACACAUGCAAGUCCACUUGAAUUUGGGUUUUUACCUUAGGUUUGGGUGGCGGACGGGUGAGUAACGCGUAAAGAACUUGCCUCACAGCUAGGGACAACAUUUGGAAACGAAUGCUAAUACCUAAUAUUAUGAUAAUAGGGCAUCCUAUAAUUAUGAAAGCUAUAAGCGCUGUGAGAGAGCUUUGCGUCCCAUUAGCUAGUUGGAGAGGUAACGGCUCACCAAGGCGAUGAUGGGUAGCCGGCCUGAGAGGGUGAUCGGCCACAAGGGGACUGAGACACGGCCCUUACUCCUACGGGAGGCAGCAGUGGGGAAUAUUGGACAAUGGACCAAGAGUCUGAUCCAGCAAUUCUGUGUGCACGAUGAAGUUUUUCGGAAUGUAAAGUGCUUUCAGUUGGGAAGAAAGAAAUGACGGUACCAACAGAAGAAGUGACGGCUAAAUACGUG